CCGUACGCAGCCGCCGCCUUCCCGCCGAUGGCCCCCUGCCGCAACCUGCCGCAUGCCGCCGUCGCCUCCCCGCCGAUGGCCGCCGGACGCCCAUACCGCAGGCCGCCGCACCCUACCGCUCGCAGAAGGAGAGGAUGCGACUAAGGGACAACACGUUGUUCGCGGCGGUCAGCAAGAGAAGAAGGCGACAUGGUAGGGGAUGAGCUUGCCCCAACGCAAGCGCGCCAGCCGCCAAAGCCGUCAGAUCCGCCAGUUCAUCCACCGACAGGGAAGAAGACUAUGGCGAUGACAGUGUGGUUGUACGUGGAGUACAUGAGCAGUGGGAGCGGCAGGUGGAGUGGAGGCAGCUGUUCCUUAAAAGCUAUUGCUUCUCCCAUGACGCCGAACACUUGCCAUGCGCGCGCGUGCCGCUAAGCCCCGAUGCCCCCGGGUGCGCAUCCGUCUAUGCUUCGGCUGGGCCGUGCCUGCUCCAUGUUGCUACUCCUCCAC
rnacentral:lncRNA from 1 species